rnacentral:rRNA from 1 species
GAGUUGAAUGAAAUGCGAUAUUAUUUCAUGGCAAACUGCUUAGUAACACAUGAUCAACCUACCCUAUGGAGGGAACUAACCUCGGGAAACUGAGGAUAAUGUCCCAUAGCAGAUUCGGCUUGGAAAAGUGUAUCUGUGAACGGGGUAUGGAAUUGUCCAUACGUGCCAUAGGAUGGGAUUGUGGUCGAUUAGGUAGUUGGUGAGGUAAUGGCUCACCAAGCCGAUAAUCGAUAGGGGCCGUGAGAGCGGGAGCCUCAAGAUGGGUACUGAGACAGCGACCCAGGCCCUACGGGGCGCAGCAGGCGCGAAACCUCCACAAUGCACGCAAGUGCGAUGGGGCUACCCAAAGUGCUCCAUACGGAGCUGUGGUGGAUGAGUAAUGUUCUCCGCUAGAAAGGAGAGGGCAAGGCUGGUGCCAGCCGCCGCGGUAAAACCAGCUCUUCAAGUGGUCGGGAUAAUUAUUGGGCUUAAAGUGUCCGUAGCUGGUAGGGGAAGUUCCUGGUAAAAUUGGGCAGCUUAACUGUCCUUAUGCUAGGAAUACUCCUCUACUAGAGGGCGGGAGAAGUCUGACGUACUACAGGGGUAGGGGUGAAAUCU